rnacentral:rRNA from 1 species
AUACGGAGGGUGCAAGCGUUAUUCGGAAUCACUGGGCGUAAAGGGUGCGUAGGCGGUUUGAUAAGUCUGAUGUGAAAUCCUAUGGCUCAACCAUAGAACUGCAUUGGAAACUGUCAGACUAGAAUACUGAAGGGGCAGAUGGAAUUAGUGUUGUAGGGGUAAAAUCCGUAGAUAUCACUAGGAAUACCGAAAGCGAAAGCGAUCUGCUGGGAAGUUAUUGACGCUGAGGCACGAAAGCGUGGGGAGCAAACGGGAUUAGAAACCCUAGUAGUCC